rnacentral:rRNA from 1 species
GGGUUGUGAGGUUAAGCGACUAAGCGUACACGGUGGAUGCCCUGGCAGUCAGAGGCGAUGAAGGACGUGCUAAUCUGCGAUAAGCGUCGGUAAGGUGAUAUGAACCGUUAUAACCGGCGAUUUCCGAAUGGGGAAACCCAGUGUGAUUCGUCACACUAUCAUUAACUGAAUCCAUAGGUUAAUGAGGCGAACCGGGGGAACUGAAAC